AUUGAACGCUGGCGGCAGGCCUAACACAUGCAAGUCGAACGAGUGGCGGACGGGUGAGUAAUGUCUGGGAAACUGCCCGAUGGAGGGGGAUAACUACUGGACACGGUAUCUAAUACCGCAUACUAUCGGAUGUGCCCAGAGGGUAUUAGCUUGUAGGUGGGGUAAUGGCUCACCUAGGCGACGAUCCCUAGCUGGUCUGAGAGGAUGACCAGCCACACUGGAACUGAGACACGGUCCAGACUCCUACGGGAGGCAGCAGUGGGGAAUAUUGCACAAUGGGCGCAAGCCUGAUACAGCCAUGCCGCGUGUAUGAAGAAGGCCUUCGGGUUGUAAAGUACUUUCAGCGAGGAGGCGUUACUCGCAGAAGAAGCACCGGCUAACUCCGUGCCAGCAGCCGCGGUAAUUC
rnacentral:rRNA from 1 species